UACAGAGGCCUCGAGCGUUAGGCGGAAUCACUGGGCUUAAAGCGUGUGUAGGCGGACUUCUAAGUACCUUGUGAAAUCCCACGGCUCACCCAUGGAACUGCUUGGUAUACUGGUCGUCUUGAGCCUUCUAGGGGCGAGUGGAACAAAUGGUGGAGCGGUGAAAUGCGUAGAUAUCAUUUGGAACGCCAAUGGUGAAAACAACUCGCUGGGGAAGUGCUGACGCUGAGACACGAAAGCCAGGGGAGCGAACGGG
rnacentral:rRNA from 1 species